UGUCCACAACCUUACCACCGCUACCGGAGCCGCCGCAUGACUGACAUCACAUCACAUUACCCAGGAUGCACUUAUCAUAUCCUCAGCCCCAGUAUCUCCGCUCAUCCGCAACACACCCACAACAACUUUGGGACAUAAUCUUUCUUGCCACACGGUGAUAACCUCGGCCUAUAGCUUCUCCCCCCAGAGAGAGAGAGAGAGAGAGAGAGAGAGAGAGAGAGAGAGAGAGAGAGAGAGAGAGAGAGAGAGAGAGAGAGAGAGAGAGAUACGAAUAUAUCACUUAUAUUUCACACAUCCGUUUCUAGUCGUAGUGUAAAGUUAAAAGAAAAAAAAAGCGGGCAAAAUAUGAGUCUUUGUUUAUGUGUUUCAAGAUUACGUCACCGCCCCAGGAUGUGACGGCUAGGCAAGUAUUCUUGAGAACUUUGCUGAGACAGAGGAGACACACACACACACACACACACACACACCGCGUAGUGUAGUGGUUAGCACUCUAAGCUCAUAAGCUCAAAUAUCACAUAAGCUCUUAUAAAGGCUGAGAAGGCCCUGGGUUCGAGUCCCAGGAGCAGCGAGGCUAAUAGUGGAGCCUCGUUGUGUGGCCUCUGUUCAUCAGCAGCGAGCAAGUACGGGAUGUGAAGCGAGGGGCUGUGGCAUCACUGUCCGGUGUGCGAGUAGCCUCAGCCUACCCAGAGAUAAGUCACCAGGAGCAGGACUACUACUGCGAGAACGGCUGGCUGUGUCACGAGACCGGUAGAGACCGCACACACACACAUGCAAGUAGAAAGGAAAUGUGUGUGUGUGUGUGUGUGUGUGUGUGUGUAGCUAGUAAGGAACCACAUUUGCAAACACUUCCACAUGUGAUUAAAGAUGAUGGGGUUUUCCCAGGUGCUUUUACAAUUCUAAUGAUCGUUUAAUCGUUAUUCUGCAUCGCCAAUGGGAAAAAUACCCCUGAGGAUCGCAAUACUGUGUGGGCUUUGAAAACAAUCCUUGAGGGUCCGCAGCGUUUCAGAACACGGUCUAGGAUGAAGGCGGUGUGGCAACUCUGCAGGAAAAUCCUGAGCUGUGUGAGGAAGGUUACUGCGAGAUAUGGAGUGAGGAACAGAGAAAUGUAAUACUCAACAAGCCUUGGAUCAAACCUGCUAAAAAUAAUUAACUUCAAGACUGAUGAGCAAAAAAAGAGGAUGUUUUCUAAGAAGAUACAGGUCGUGUGUUCAGUCGUAGCAAAAAAGAGGAUUACACGCGCUGUGCGUCAAGCACCGGCGAGAUGGUGCUGGUCGCGUCUGGCGGCUGUUAGUGUUUGCUAAUCCUGGUAUACAUACACAUUCCUCCUCAAAUGUAGCGUGGGACGAAACAUGAAAAUAAGUAAGCAAAUAAUUCAAUAAAUAAGUAAAUAAACAACAACAACAACAACAACAACAACAACAACAACAACAACAGCAGCAGCAGCAGCAGCAGCAGCAGCAGCAGCAGCAGCAGCAGCAGCAGCAGCAGCAACAACAACAACAACAACAACAACAACAACAACAACAACAACAAUAAUAAUAAUAAUAAUAAUAAUAAUAAUAAUAAGAAGAAGAAGAAGAAGAAGAAGAAGAAUGAGAAUGAGAAAUGUGUUCACAUAAACAGAUACGAGAAUAAUGGACACGGAUGUCUGCGAAUCCUGACAAUAAUAAGCCUUGUCUUUCAUCAAUAUCCAAGAAUCAAGAAAAUUGCUAAUAAUUCUUGUUAUUAAGGCAAACGCAUGCCCUUUAGAAGAGUGUUCUUCAGUCUCUCCUAGAUCUUUUGAGAAAUUCAUGUAAUGAAGCGCUUAGGACGAUUAAUUAUAAAGAAAAAAACAUAAAUAUCUCACGUUUUUCUCUAGUUUCAAGACUAAAAAUAUACAUAAAAAGUAUCAAGUCUCUAUUUUUAAACAUAAAAUAUGUAUUCAGUCCUAAAUAAUUGUUGUAUAGCGCUAAAUGUUUAAUAAAACAAAAUAAUGUUUAUACAUGUUACACACCUACUUUUAAAUGUACACAUUAUGUACACCUAAAAGUACAUUUAAACUCAAUUAGGAUGAAUUUUCCUAUAAGACACUUGUAAUUUUCUUCUUAUUUUUUUCUACAGUGCACUCUUAUACACACCAUGUGCCCCUUCCCCCCGUCCAUGCAGUAUCCCACUAUACCCUUAGAAAACUUCAUGCACCAUGUGGUGCACCAUGCACCCAGGUGGCUAGCACUGCUUUAGAAUAUAUACAUGGAGGAGCUGAACGAUGGCAGUAAAAAUACAGUAAACCAGAAUGAAAAAUUCGUUUGCCGGUGCCGGCAGAAUAUUAAUUAAUGUUUUCCUGUUGGUCUAGUGAGCAUACAAAGUAACGCGGACUGGACGUCAAACACAAGCUGCGGUUGCCCUAAUUUAUAAAUAUCUUCCUGUAUCUGCCUGUACCAAGAGUUUUGUCUCCUGUCAUCGUAUGUCAGUGUUAUCUCAGAAAGAUGAUGCCUUGUCGUUGCCUGUGACGUGUUUCAGGACUCGAGUAAAACUUUAACACGAGAGAAACGAGGUUAGUGUUUGAGGGCACUAUGGGGGCUAUGGGCAUGGACGCACUAUUUCCAAGUGGCUUAUUUGAUGCCUGUUGAGUCACUGGCAGUCCAUACAACUGUUAGGAGUGAUAUAUCUUCCCGGAAAUAAUUUCGCAGGGGGAAACAUUUGGCAUAACACUGGAAAGAAACACGAGAAUACGGACUUUACAUAUUUGUCGCUGCAACUCACGAGUCGCUGUACUUCCAUAUUCUUAACGCUUUGUUCUCGCACCAGGAUCAUUUUCAAAGGACACAGAGAUGGUCAGGGAAAUUCUCCUUUUUUUUUUUUUUUUUUUUUUUUUUUUUUGCCCCACUGAAGAGGCUCAAUGCUUGGACCAUCCGACCGUUCUCUCAAAUGUCUCGGCGUCGCGUCAUGACGACGACUGACAACUACGUGGAACAAUGGGAUGUUCAAGGAUGUCUUCUUAAUUCUAGUGAGAUAAAAAAAAAAAAAAAAAAAAUCUGGAUCAUAACCUGGAAAACAUCCAUGAUAACCGAAGUCCGGAUGAAAAAAGUUAUUAAAUUACCACUGAAAUCAUACACACACAAAAAAAAAAAAAAUAAAUAAAUAGAAAAUAAAUAAAUAAAAAAUAAAAAUUAAUAAAUAAAAAAAAAUAGAAAUGAAAAUAACUAAACAUACACACUCUUGAAAGCCACAAUAAUAUUCGAUACGACUUCUUUAAAACUAAAGAGGUAAGACGUCAAAAUAUUUGAGGGUCUGGCCACACAGCAGCGUCCAGCCAGCUGGUGUAGGGACGUGUGGUUGUAGUCGCUGUGUCCUCACGUGGCCCUCCUUUCACUUCCCGGAGCAGCCCGUCCCUCGUGAUAAGGAGCCCCCGCACCUGGAGCCGCUCACAAGCUUUAUCCGGACCACGAUGCCUAAGACUCCCUUCCCACUCUUUCUCUCUCAAGCCUACAUGUCUCCAAACUCUAAACUUCAUGGUCUUCAAGAAACGAGUUUAGAAUGGGAUUUAUAGGUGAAUAUGAAUACACGUACACAACAACAUAAACAAAUAAAUAAAUGAAAUAAUAAUAAUAAUAAUAAUAAUAAUAAUAAUAAUAAUAAUAAAGGAGUAAAUAAUAAUAAUAAAAAAAACUAGCAUUUUAAACUUAAAUAUAAACGUUGCAGAACUUUAUCAUCUACAUUCCACUCCGUUUUCAACCUUUUUGUUUAUUAAUUCCGGUCACUUGUAAAUAAUACACGUACAAUUAUAAAAUUCUUACUCUUCUCGCCUUUUCUAUUUUCUGUAUUUUCUCCUUUCAUGGUAUAAAAGGUUUUCCUUUUCUUCUUCCUCGGUGUUUUCUGUUAUUCUUAUUCCCAAAUAUAUCUUUAUUUCCUAUCUUCCUUUUCAUCUGUAUCCGUAUCCGUAUCUACACAUACCUCCUGUACGACUUGAUGGCUGCGCUUGUGUGUGUGUGUGUGUGUGUGUGUGUGUGUGUGUGUGUGUGUGUGUGUUGCCGAUGUCAUGCUCGUAAUCCAUACUUCCCUCAUGUCUCUCAUUUUUUAUUCGCUAGCGUCCAAUAUGGUGAAGUCGCGGCGUGUAUCUAAUGGUGCGGUAGUCCAACAAGCCCAGCUUUACCACCCGCAGCUAGGGAAUAGUUGGCAUUAGCAGCAGUCUCGAGAGAAACGCCGCGUCAGGACGAUACUGAGCGAAUCAGCGAGCACCACUGAACAGUCCAGCAGACAACUGCAGCUGGUGAAGGCGCAGCUGUGGUUUUGGGUUGUGUUGUGUAGUAGUAUUUUUAUCUAUUCAUGCUAUUACUUAUCUAUUUAUUUUCAUGGUUUUAUUUUAUUUUAUUUUAAAAGGCUCUGAGUGAUACGAAAUAUUCACCCUUCUUUAUAACAUCUGAGUCUGCCUCCUACUCUCUACGUACGUAUCGGUUUUUUUCACCGCAGAAUUACGUGUCUCCGCCCGCAGCACUCCUGCAUCAAGUGCAACAGCCGCUUGCUGCACAGCCACCCUGACACCAUGACACCUGAGAUCCCCCCUCACCGCCCCCCCCCCAAAAAAAAAAAACAAAAAAACUGGCGACCUCAAGUUUUUACCAGCAUUGUGUAAACGGCUUAACGCCUGAGGCUUUAUCAGCUAAAAAUUCACGCAAAGGACGAGAAGCUGGCAUCAGAGGCAGCGAGCGUCAAGCGUCAGAAGAUGGAUGUUGUUAUUUGUAGCUGCCGGCGAUGAGAGACAACGCGUGGGCUGGUUGCUCUUCGUGCGAGGCUAAGCUGGUGCAGCCUCCUGCGGCCACGAGCUGAUGGGCAGAUCGUAAGAUGCGACGCGGGAGGUUGGUUAGAUUACCGAUAUUUCGUCAGUGUUGCUUCCUGUCAUCCGCCUGGAGAGUGUUAUCUCUUCCAUUCUAUAGUCCAUUUCAAUUGCCAUUCCUCACACAGAAUUGCUUGCAGGUUCGAGUGCUGUAAAGGUUAAUGUGGUUAGUGAAAAGUGACCACACUGAGAAAGAGAGAAUGGCAACGUAACUGAUACUAACGAUAAGCAGAGGUGAGAUACGUUAUCGGUUAUCUGACGCCAUGGGUUUUGUCAUGGUAGGGCACAAGACAAGUUAGGCUUGUUAGUCACACACAGUCCAUCACACCAGUGACUCUAUCCGGCUCUUUGUUCCACUAACAAGCACCUCCUUCUAAGUAAUAACCUUCUGGCACAAAUUCUGCCCAGAGUACAGUUUUAUCAUAUCAAGAUCUUAUCGGUAAACAAGGAGAGCUUAUUGUGAGUUGCUCCUUAUCACCUGAGGGCCGCGACGUUUUAUCUUGUGUUCUGCUCUCUACUGACAGAAAUUCGAUACGAUGGUCCGUCCGUCGCCGCGCUACUUAUACAUCCUUAACAAAAUAUAAUUUUUAUGUAUCCCAAAACUAGGCAUCUAGAUAAGGCGGUGACGAGCCUACACGCUGUUGUCCACAAGGUCGUAUGCAUCACAGCCAACCAGCCCCAAACUUGACCGCAUUUCACGUUACUCUACAAAAAAACUGGUGGCAUUGCUUUCAACGUGCGUACUCGUACUCGCGUCAUGGAUGGCUGAAUCAACAACAUGAAAUCAGAAGCAGCAAGUGGUUUGGAGAUUAUUACAAAACUAACUUUUGACGAUGCAAAAAAAAAAAAAAAAAAAAAAAAAAAAUAA